CCUACGGGAGGCAGCAGUGGGGAAUAUUGGGCAAUGGGCGAAAGCCUGACCCAGCAACGCCGCGUGAAGGAAGAAGGCUUUCGGGUUGUAAACUUCUUUUGACAGGGAAGAGCAGAAGACGGUACCUGUCGAAUAAGCCACGGCUAACUACGUGCCAGCAGCCGCGGUAAUACGUAGGUGGCAAGCGUUGUCCGGAUGUACUGGGUGGAAAGGGCGUGUAGCCGGGAUGACAAGUCAGAUGUUAAAUCCGGGGGCUCAACCCCCGAACUGCAUUUGAAACUGUGGGUCUUGAGUAUCGGAGAGGCAGGCGGAAUUCCUAGUGUAGCGGUGAAAUGCGUAGAUAUUAGGAGGAACACCAGUGGCGAAGGCGGCCUGCUGGACGACAACUGACGGUGAGGCGAGAAAGCGUGGGGAGCAAACAGGAUUAGAUACCCUGGUAGUC
rnacentral:rRNA from 1 species